GUGGUGCAAUUGCCUAAAGUAACUAGGAAAAUGAAACUAACAUUCACAUUUUAAAGAAAAUGUACAGCUUUGAAGAGGCUUUCAGGGUAGGGUCCAGCUGCAUUACCUGAGUGUUCCCUAGGCUUCCAACCUUAGAUGCUCUCGUGCUGGGGAAACCUGGUGUGCUGGCUCUAAGGAACAGCAUGGAGCAUAGAGUGGAGUGGAGACACCAUGGCUAGGCUCUGUGACCAGAUGGGGACUCGAUUGUUCUUGUGCACGCUGAGACUGAUAAGCCACACUUUUUGCUACCCUGAGCCAAUGACCUAACAGGUUUUAACGAAUGCUGUACUCUAGUGUACUUUUGCUCAUUACAGUAUCAUUAUAAUACCAAAACACACCUCCAUCCCAAAAGCUACCUGCCUCCAAGGUGUGACCACUCCUCACUGAGCACAUGCUCUGAAUUUCUCUGAGCCUAUUACUUUAAAUGGAGAUGGGUUAACUUUUCACCAACCAUAACUAAGACAUGCUUGACUAGAGUCACUCAAGCUCCACCUAAAAGAUAGAAAAUAAUAUAAAUUGGCCUAAGAGAGAGGGGAUGUUAGGGAAGAAACCACCGUCAAGGGAGAUACCAUCCCGAGGGAAUAUACCAUCCCGAGGACCUCCUGACUCCUGGGAUCAGUUGACGGGCUGAGCCUCUCUUCCCCCCCACUGGGAAGCCUUUGGGUGAGAUUUGACCACUUGGUUAUACUCCUCUUAAUGUCUAUAUACAGUCUUUGAC